ensembl:lincRNA
GUUUAACUAAAAGUAAUUAUGUUUGCAUUAGAUUAAGCACUGGUUUGUUCUCCUGCAGAACAAUAGAGGGUUUUGUUUCUCCUUCCCCAUCUCCUGUUCACGUGGCCAGCCUGGCCGAAGCUUUCGGGAGCAAAGCCAUCGUCGUAUCGCAGCUGUGCCCUGGAGCUGUGUCCUCAGAGCCUUUUACUUGCCCUUUGCAAAAAGAAAAAGAGGGUUGAUCGGAAGGGAAAUUGAAAAGAGAGAUUGAGGAUGCUACAGGAUAACUUGGAAAGGUUCAAAGACAUCUUUUAGAGGCAAUUGGAGUACCUCAGUCUUGCCAUGGUGGAUCCAUAUUGUGGCUCAGUUGAUUUCUUCAUGGAGGACAUCAUACGGUUCAUAAGAAUUCUCUCUGUGAAGACAGUGAAGACACAAACAUACAAGAAGGAGCGAGAGAGGGAGAGGGAGAGACAGAGAGAAACAGAGAGACAAAGUGUGUGUGAGAGAGACGUGGGGGUGCUGUUGAGGUAACUGUCUGAACUUUUGGAUCUGACUGCAACAUAACUCUGAAUUUCGAUCAGUGAGGUAAAGGGUGUUACGGCUAGUAUCUAGAUAUCCUCCCAAAGCCUCAUGCACUCGUUUGUGGGGCUUUCGGGAGGUAGCUGGAUCAUGAGUGUGUGAUGCUGGGUUAGAGUGUGAGAUAGCUAAAUUGGUUUAGCAUGGUUCUGGAUGUGCAUAAUGGAAGUCCCACUCUGGAUGUAGGAGGCAUAAAUCAGUAGGCAGCUGCUGCCUGAAUGGAAUAAAAAGGAAAUGAAGAAGGAAGGUUCCUUUAUGCUUUUUUGGUAGAGCUCCAGCCUCCACUUUCACUUUGGACAUUGUCUCCUUGUUUCCAUCACAGACCCUUCAGCCUCCCGAUAUGGACUCAUUGUGGGACACUAGCAUGAGCUCCAGGCCUUUGAUCUUCGACUGGAUCCUUCAGAUCUCCAGCAUGUAGGCAGCCCUUUUGCCCUCUUCUACACCUGACUCAAUGGGCAGCCAUUGUAAACCUGCCUUGCAAAUUAUUAUAUAUUUAUAUCUCUUGCAAUAAAUCUGUUUCUUUAGUGAGCACUGACUGAUACAAAGGAUACGAAAGGAAAAACAAGUUUGAAGAGGAAGAGACUGAAAUUAUGGCAAAAGAAAAGUCUUGAUGAAAUCAAGUCUCAGAAGGAACCUUAGAAGAUGAAGUAAAAGAAUUUUCCUUGCAUGAAAUUUACAUGGUUUCCUUUGAAAGAAAGAUAACAAGUAACAAAUGUACAGAGAUGAUCUUGAGAAGGGGAACAAAGUAAAGGAAAUUUGUAUUAAAUUGCGAAGAUAACCUUCAUGCAGUGAAAAGAUCAGCAAUAAUUUGACAUGUAACAACACGUUAUAUAUUUUUUUCAUAAAGUUACAUGUUGCUUUCAUAGAAGCUCUGCUGCUAAUGGUGUUUUGUAGUUGAUUACAAACAGCACAGAGAAAUAUGAAAAGUAGUAGACAAUAUUGCAAAUUUUUGAGGCAUAUUACAUACACUCAUGUUUUAUAAGCACGGGUCUAUUGUCUGCUGUGUUGUUGUGAUUUUCAAAGAACUAUGAUUAAAUUAAAACAAUUGAAUCCAGUCUUUGCCUUGAUGUCAUUAACUAGCAAACUCAUGACAGAACUUCCUCAGUAUAGUACUGCUUGUUCUCUAUAUUUCUCCUCUUUCC